ACGAGCGGCGGACGGGUGAGUAAUGCCUAGGGAUCUGCCCAGUCGAGGGGGAUAACAGUUGGAAACGACUGCUAAUACCGCAUACGCCCUACGGGGGAAAGGAGGGGACCUUCGGGCCUUCCGCGAUUGGAUGAACCUAGGUGGGAUUAGCUAGUUGGUGAGGUAAUGGCUCACCAAGGCGACGAUCCCUAGCUGUUCUGAGAGGAUGAUCAGCCACACUGGGACUGAGACACGGCCCAGACUCCUACGGGAGGCAGCAGUGGGGAAUAUUGCACAAUGGGGGAAACCCUGAUGCAGCCAUGCCGCGUGUGUGAAGAAGGCCUUCGGGUUGUAAAGCACUUUCAGUAGGGAGGAAAGGUAAUAGUUUAAUAAACUAUUACUGUGACGUUACCUACAGAAGAAGGACCGGCUAACUCCGUGCCAGCAGCCGCGGUAAUACGGAGGGUCCGAGCGUUAAUCGGAAUUACUGGGCGUAAAGCGUUGCGCAGGCGGUUUGUUAAGCCAGAUGUGAAAUCCCCGGGCUCAACCUGGGAAUUGCAUUUGGAACUGGCGAACUAAAGUCUUGUUAGAGGGGGGUAGAAUUCCAGGUGUAGCGGUGAAAUGCGUAAAUAUCUUGGAGGAAUACCGGUGGCGAAGGCGGCCCCUGGACAAAGAAUGACGCUCAUGCACAAAGCGUGGGGAGCAAACAGGAUUU
rnacentral:rRNA from 1 species